rnacentral:rRNA from 1 species
UACGUAGGAGACGAGCGUUGUCCGGAGUUACUGGGCGUAAAGAGUGCGUAGGUGGUGCCCUAAGUCUGUUGUGAAAUCUCCCGGCUCAACUGGGAGGGUGCGCCGAAUACUGAGAGGCUAGAGUGUGGGAGAGGAAAGUGGAAUUCCUGGUGUAGAGGUGAAAUUCGUAGAUAUCGAGAGGAACACCGGUGGCGAAGGCGGCCAACUGGACGAGUACUGACGCUGAGACACGAAAGCGUGGGGAGCAAACAGG